rnacentral:rRNA from 1 species
UACGGAGGGUGCGAGCGUUGUCCGGAAUCACUGGGCGUAAAGGGCGCGUAGGCGGCUGGGGAAGUCGGCGGUGAAAGCCCGGAGCUCAACUCCGGGUCGGCCGUCGAGACUCCUCGGCUCGAGCUCACUAGAGGCAGAUGGAAUUCCGGGUGUAGCGGUGGAAUGCGUAGAGAUCCGGAAGAACACCGGUGGCGAAGGCAGCCCCCUGGGUUAACACUGACGCUCAGGCACGAAAGCGUGGGGAGCAAACAGG